UCCGUAGGCGGAUCGAUAAGUCAGAGGUGAAAUCCCACAGCUUAACUGUGGAACUGCCUUUGAAACUGUUGGUCUUGAGUUAUAUGGAAGUAGAUAGAAUGUGUAGUGUAGCGGUGAAAUGCUUAGAGAUUACACAGAAUACCGAUUGCGAAGGCAGUCUACUACGUAUAUAUUGACGCUAAUGGACGAUAGCGUGGGGAGCGAACAGGAUUAGAUACCCUGGUAGUCC
rnacentral:rRNA from 1 species